UACAGAGGGUGCAACCGUUGUUCGGAAUUACUGGGCGUAAAGCGCGUGUAGGCGGCCUAGUGUGUCGGGCGUGAAAUCCCACGGCUCAACCGUGGAAGUGCACUCGAAACUGCGCAGCUAGAGUCUCGGAGAGGAAGGCGGAAUGCUUGGUGUAGAGGUGAAAUUCGUAGAUAUCAAGCGGAACACCGGUGGCGAAGGCGGCCUUCUGGACGAUGACUGACGCUGAAGCGCGAAAGCGUGGGGAGCAAACAGG
rnacentral:rRNA from 1 species